rnacentral:rRNA from 1 species
AUUGAACGCUGGCGGCAUGCCUUACACAUGCAAGUCGAACGGUAACAGGUUAAGCUGACGAGUGGCGAACGGGUGAGUAAUGUAUCGGAACGUGCCCAGUCGUGGGGGAUAACUGCUCGAAAGAGCAGCUAAUACCGCAUACGACCUGAGGGUGAAAGCGGGGGAUCGCAAGACCUCGCGCGAUUGGAGCGGCCGAUAUCAGAUUAGGUAGUUGGUGGGGUAAAGGCCCACCAAGCCAACGAUCUGUAGCUGGUCUGAGAGGACGACAAGCGACACUGGGACUGGGACACGGCCCAGACUCCUACGGGAGGCAGCAGUGGGGAAUUUUGGACAAUGGGCGCAAGCCUGAUCCAGCCAUGCCGCGUGCGGGAAGAAGGCCUUCGGGUUGUAAACCGCUUUUGUCAGGGAAGAAACGGCUUUCUCUAAUACAGAGAGCUAAUGACGGUACCUGAAGAAUAAGCACCGGCUAACUACGUGCCAGCAGCCGCCGUAAGAC